AGGCUUAAUAAUGAAAUGUAUUUUAAAGUUAUUUUGUGUGCACAUUCAUACAUGUAAUUUCCUGGGCAAAGAAAUGGCACCCAUUCACUUCUCACACUUUUGUUUAGUUCAGCCAACAGAAUUAACCCAGUGGUUUUCAGUGCCGCUGUUUUAUCAGGUGUAACUCUCCUACAGUCCAGGGGGAGGCGCAGUUCUCUGUGUGGUUCUCAAACAGCAGUAAAACAUAAGAGAAGAAGAGCCCGUUCUGAUCCGUCACGGUUUUCUCCAGAUCAUAUAAAUUAUUCCUGAUAUUUCUCCAGAUCCAGCUCCUCUCCCCCCGGUUCCCCGAGAGCUGCUCUCCGUACCGAGCUGCUCUAAACCCGGCUCCGCGCUUCUACAGAGCCGCUGGAGGAAGAGGAGCAGGAGCUGCUGAAGUGACAGUGACGCCCUCUUCCAUGUCUACACCAUCUCCUAGAGUCUGUCACACUUUAAAUGUAUCUCUAAAAGCAUUUCAGAAAGCACCACAAAGAGGAAUAUCACACCCUGUUUCAACAGUAUGGAUUUCAGUGAUCUGGAAUUCAGUGGUUUGGAACUCUCCACUGUUGAGCAGGCAUCCCCAGGUGCUUCUUGCUCCAACGUAUCUCACCGUCGUUUGCCGAAAAGUACCAUAAAGAAGAGAUCUCACCACUGCUUAGAGUGCGGGAAGAGUUUUACCCAACGAUGUCACCUGAGACUACACCAGCACAUUCAUACUGGGGAGAAGCCCUACCAGUGUCCAGACUGUGGGAAGAGCUUUAAUCACCCAAGUAGUUUCCAGAUUCACCAGCGGACUCAUACUGGUGAGAAACCGUUCAACUGCUCAGACUGCGGGAAGAGUUUUAAUCAACAAAGUCAUCUUCAGGUCCACCAGCGCGUUCACACUGGAGAGAAACCAUAUCAGUGCUCCGAAUGCGGGACCUGUUUUAGUCGCCAGAAUAGCCUCCAACGUCACCAGCUUAUUCACAAAGGAGAAAAACCCUAUGACUGUUUAGAGUGUGGGCGGAGCUUUAGGAACAAAGGUACACUCCAGUCUCACCAGCGCACUCACACAGGUGAGAAACCCUAUCAGUGCUCAGACUGUGGGCGGAGCUUCAAUCAGAAGAGCAAUCUUCAAACCCACCAGCGCACCCACAGUGGAGAGAAGCCAUACGAGUGUCCGGAGUGUGGGAUCGGUUUUGGUGACAAAUGUACCCUCAUAAGACACCAGCAAAUUCAUACUGGAGAGAAACCGUAUUUCUGCUCAGAGUGUGGGUGGAGCUUCAGACAUUUGAGUACUUUAAAAUCACAUAAAUGUAUUAAGAUCACUCGUGGUGUUUCUGAAAGCAGUGGAGCAGAGUGUUAUUAUUUUUAGGAAUUAAAUGCAAUGUCCUUCUAGAGAUUUAGAACAUUCUGCAGUGGCGGUUUCUUCAUUAGGGUGAUCAGGCACCGCACCACCACAGGGAGAGAAGGAGGAAAAAAGUUUCUAGCACAUUAAAUCAGUGUUAAACUAGCGUGUGAUUGUUCUAGUCAGCCAUUCCUGCCUCUGAAUGUCAUACACCAAUCAGUGUUAACUUUCUUUUUUCAGAGUUUCAGGCUCUGCAAGGCAAUCUCAAUGGGUUCUGGGAUGGCUUGCCCUAGCAUGCUUGCGUCACUAUCAACCUGGGGUUUUUCCACUGCUGAGGGUUUAGAGACAGUUAAUUAUGAGACUGUUGCUGCUGUUAGAAGUCCAGUUCUGAUCUCACAGUUAGCCUGUUAGCAUAAACUGGCUUCCUGACCUCUGUCCCUACAGUGGCACAGCAGCGCAAACAUGUCGUCUACCAGCCCAAUUCUAAAUGCACUAGCCAUGCUUUCUGUGGACAGGGAACUAGUCAGAGGGGGAUUAAUCACUUUACUGAUUAAAAAAACGUCAGAUGAGACAGUGAGUGGUGUAGUUUCUUAUUUGUACUUGCACUUAUUGUAUCUCCCCAACUGUUUAAUUGUACAUCUUUUGUUUGUUGCACAUCACACCAAUCUAUAUUUUGUGUCUGCUGCCCCUAAAAUUAAACACUGUCUGAUGAAGACUGAAUUUAAUAGUUAA